rnacentral:rRNA from 2 species
AGGCGCGGAAGGAACAGGAGCAAACAGGAUUGUAUUCCAUGCUAGUACAGGCGGUAAACGAGGAGUGGUGACUGUUCGAGUGGUUCCUCCCUCUAGUGAUGAAGUUAAUUCAUUAAGCACUCCGCCCGGGGGCAACGGCCGCAAGCAUGAAAAUCAAAGGAAUUGACGGGGGCCCGCACAAGCGGUGGAGCAUGUGGUUUAAUUUGAAGCAACGUGAAGAACCUUACCCGGUCUUGACAUCCUCUGAAAACCCUUGAGAUAGGGGUUGUCCUUCGGGAGCAGAGUCACAGGUGGUGCCAGGUUGUCGUCAGAUAGGGUCGGGAGAGUUUGGGUUAAGUCCCGCACCGAGCGCAACCCUUGAUGCUAGUCGUCAUCAGUAAGUUGGGCACUCUAAGGUGACCGGGGGUGACAAACCGGGAGGAGGGGGGGGAGGCGUCAAAUUCUCAUGCCCUUUAUGACCUGGGCACACACGUCCACAAUGGGCGGUACAAAGAGUGCAAGACCGCGAGGUGGAGAUAAUAUAAUAAAACCGUUUUCAGUUCGGAUUGUAGGCUGCAACUUGCCCACAUGAAAGGAGAAUCGCUAGUAAUCGCGGAUCAGCAUGCCGCGGUGAAUAUGUUUCCGGGCCUUGCACACACCGCCUGUCACCCCCAGAGAGUGUGUCACACCAGAAGUCGGUGGGGUAACCGUAUGGAGCCAGCCG